rnacentral:tRNA from 1 species
UCCCUUGUGGCUCAGCUGGUAGAGAACCUGCCUGCAAUGCAGGAGACCUGGGUUCAAUCCCUGGGUUGGGAA